rnacentral:rRNA from 1 species
AGAGUUUGAUCCUGGCUCAGGACGAACGCUGGCGGCGCGCCUAACACAUGCAAGUCGAACGAGAGAGAGGGAGCUUGCUUCCUCAAUCGAGUGGCGAACGGGUGAGAACGCGUGAGGAACCUGCCUCUAAGAGGGGGACAACAGUUGGAAACGACUGCUGAUACCGCAUAAGCCCACAGGUCGGCAUCGACCAGAGGGAAAAGGAGCAAUCCGCUUUGAGAUGGCCUCGCGUCCGAUUAGCUAGUUGGUGAGGUAACGGCCCACCAAGGCAACGAUCGGUAGCCGGACUGAGAGGUUGAACGGCCACAUUGGGACUGAGACACGGCCCAGACUCCUACGGGAGGCAGCAGUGGGGAAUAUUGCACAAUGGGGGAAACCCUGAUGCAGCGACGCCGCGUGGAGGAAGAAGGUCUUCGGAUUGUAAACUCCUGUUGUUGAGGAAGAUAAUGACGGUACUCAACAAGGAAGUGACGGCUAACUACGUGCCAGCAGCCGCGGUAAAACGUAGGUCACAAGCGUUGUCCGGAAUUACUGGGUGUAAAGGGAGCGCAGGCGGGAAGACAAGUUGGAAGUGAAAUCUAUGGGCUCAACCCAUAAACUGCUUUCAAAACUGUUUUUCUUGAGUAGUGCAGAGGUAGGCGGAAUUCCCGGUGUAGCGGUAGAAUGCGUAGAUAUCGGGAGGAACACCAGUGGCGAAGGCGGCCUACUGGGCACCAACUGACGCUGAGGCUCGAAAGUGUGGGUAGCAAACAGGAUUAGAUACCCUGGUAGUCCACACCGUAAACGAUGAUUACUAGGUGUUGGAGGAUUGACCCCUUCAGUGCCGCAGUUAACACAAUAAGUAAUCCACCUGGGGAGUACGACCGCAAGGUUGAAACUCAAAGGAAUUGACGGGGGCCCGCACAAGCAGUGGAGUAUGUGGUUUAAUUCGAUGAUACGCGAGGAACCUUACCCGGGCUUGAAUUGCAUAUGAGUUAUCCGGAGACGGAUAAGCCACAAGGCAUAUGUGAGGGUGCUGCAUGGUUGUCGUCAGCUCGUGCCGUGAGGUGUCGGCUUAAGUGCCAUAACGAGCGCAACCCUUAUCGAUAGUUACCAUCAGGUCAUGCUGGGGACUCUGUCGAGACUGCCGUCGUAAGAUGCGAGGAAGGUGGGGAUGACGUCAAAUCAGCACGGCCCUUACGUCCGGGGCCACACACGUGUUACAAUGGGGGGUACAGAAGGCCGCUACACAGCGAUGUGAUGCCAAUCCCCAAAACCCCUCUCAGUUCGGAUUGGAGUCUGCAACCCGACUCCAUGAAGCUGGAUUCGCUAGUAAUCGCGCAUCAGCCACGGCGCGGUGAAUACGUUCCCGGGCCUUGCACUCACCGCCCGUCA